rnacentral:rRNA from 1 species
AGUGAACGCUGGCGGCGUGCUUAACACAUGCAAGUCGAACAAGAACGGAUUAUAGCUUGCUAUAAUUGUCAGCUAAGUGGCGCACGGGUGAGUAAUGUAUAGGUAAUAUGCCUCUUACUAAGGGAUAACAAAUGGAAACGUUUGCUAAUACCUUAUACUCCUUAUUAACAGAAGUUAAUAAGGGAAAGAUUUAUUGGUAAGAGAUUAGCCUGUAUUGUAUCAGUUAGUUGGUGGGAUAAUGGCUUACCAAGACUAUGACACAUAACUGGUUUGAGAAGAGGAUCAGUCACACUGGAAGUGAGACACGGUCCAGACUCCUACGGGAGGCAGCAGGGGGGAAUAUUGCACAAUGGACGAAAGUCUGAUGCAGCAACGCCGCGUGGAGGAUGACACAUUUCGGUGCGUAAACUCCUUUUAUAUGAGAAGAUAAUGACGGUAUUAUAUGAAUAAGCACCGGCUAACUCCGUGCCAGCAGCCGCCGUAA